CCCGGCGACCGGCGCACGGGUGAGUAACACGUAUGAAACCUGCCCGUAGCAGGGGGAUAAGCGAAGAAAUUCCGUCUAAUACCGCGUAACAACCCAUGGAGGCAUCUCUGUGGGUUUAAAGGAAGCGAUUCCGGCUACGGAUGGUCAUGCGUCGCAUUAGCUUGUUGGCGGGGUAACGGCCCACCAAGGCGACGAUGCGUAGGGGUUCUGAGAGGAAGGUCCCCCACACUGGUACUGAGACACGGACCAGACUCCUACGGGAGGCAGCAG
rnacentral:rRNA from 1 species